UGCAGAGGUCCCAAGCGUUGUUCGGAUUUACUGGGCGUAAAGGGUGCGUAGGUGGCGGGGUAAGUCUGGUGUGAAAGCUCCGAGCUCAACUCGGAAAAGCAUUGGAAACUAUCCCGCUUGAGGGUCGGAGGGGAGACUGGAAUUCUCGGUGUAGCAGUGAAAUGCGUAGAUAUCGAGAGGAACACCAGUGGCGAAGGCGAGUCUCUGGACGACUCCUGACACUGAGGCACGAAAGCUAGGGGAGCAAACAGG
rnacentral:rRNA from 1 species